CAGUCGCCACGGGAACACGAAGGGUGCAAGCGUUAAUCGGAAUUACUGGGCGUAAAGCGCGCGUAGGUGGUUCAUUAAGUUGGAUGUGAAAGCCCUGGGCUCAACCUGGGAACUGCAUCCAAAACUGGUGAGCUAGAGUACGGUAGAGGGUAGUGGAAUUUCCUGUGUAGCGGUGAAAUGCGUAGAUAUAGGAAGGAACACCAGUGGCGAAGGCGACUACCUGGACUGAUACUGACACUGAGGCACGAAAGCGUGGGGAGCAAACAGGAUUAGAUACCCCCGUAGUCCCUGUCUCUUAUAC
rnacentral:rRNA from 1 species